rnacentral:snRNA from 1 species
AGUUUUGCCCAAUGGCAGUGUCGUAGCCAGUGAGGUUUAUCCGAGGCACAAUUACUGCUAUUUGAAAACUAUAUUGUCUUUCAUUGAACA